AACCACACAUUAGCUAAUCAGCAGGUUGAGGGGAAAGCUGCCAAAAGCAGAUCUGAUAAUUGGCAGCAUUCAAACAAUCAUAGCAGGAAACUUUACACUUCCUGCAGACAAGGCUACUGAUGAAGACAAUGCUGAGAUAUAACUUUAGGGGAAAAGAAUUAGGAUGUUUAGUACUUUCAUGUUUAAUGAUCUCUUGAAAAACUGGAUUCACAGCUCAUGGGAGGCACAGGUAUUUUGCACAGAAACAAUGUAGAAAACCACCCAACACUGGUAAAGGGAGUUCUGAUAGCCUAGUGAUCAACUAGAAGCAUUCAUGAGAUUUGUCCUCUGCCAAGUUUUACAAGCCAUUUAAAACACCUUUUUAUUUGUCUACAUCCAUAUAUGGUACAGUUAUUACUGUAAUAGGUGAGAACUUGACACAUUUAUCAGCACAACAUUCCCGAGAUAAAUAUCAACAAAUCCAUCCCACUGGUAGCUAUUUUAAACACACAUCAGCUGAGUUUUAGACCUACUCAAGACUUCAGGUGAUUUAGAUGAGAUUUAAAACAAAAUUCAAUGUUCUAAUUUUCCACUCAUCUACUGCUUAGCUUUGGCACUAUCUAAAUUCUUUCAAGCGUUUAAAGUCACCCAAAUUUCCUCAUAUAUUCUCCUUUAAGGAAUAGAAACACUUCAGUCUUCACAGUGUGAAGAAGCUGUAGCUCUUCGGUCAAAGAAGUUCAACUUUCAGCAUUAUCCGCCACUAAGCAUCCUUCAUUUAUCUCAUUGUUGGCAGCAUUCUUGCUAAUGUUUUACUUCACAUAUCUUUCAGAUCAAGUACAGCAGGAAUGGCUGUAGAAGAGCAGAGAUGAAGAUCUCCCACUUCUCCUCACAUCUGAGUUGACUCAGGUUCUGUGGGCAAACAUACCUGUGAGUUUCUUUCACAGAGAGGAACAGUUUCAACAGGAAAAGGUGAAGUGUCCUUGUUUCAAAAUAGGCUGUAUCUGGAGAAGGAGAACAGUCCUAAAGAGAUGGCAGAGAACCAAAUAAACAAAAAUAAAAAUAAGGACAAAAAUAAAAAAUAAAAAUAAAUGCAACAUUAUGAGUCGUCACAGGAAAUGCUUUCCUGUAUGUUAAUAUAUAAAACGUGCAAUUUCUACAAACUGUAUAUUUAAAAAACAUCCUUGGCAGUAAGAUAUACAGAAAGUAACAGAGUAUGAAGAAGUAAGGUCCAGUCAAAACUUUGCAACGAAGCUGCCUUUGUAGCCACUGAAGGCAGAUACACUCCUCAGGAGAUGUGCAUUUUGGUGGUAGAUUUCUGAUACCUGCACUUCUUAGAAUACAGUCAACUUCUGCUCGUGACUAUUGAAUUUCACUCUUAUCAUCUCCUUUACUGAUCUGAAGCUCUUGGGGCUGUGUAGGAAUCUCAAAUUCUGGGGCUGUCAUACCUUCGUUUGGAAUGCACUCAAGGAAUAAACAGCCUCCAAAUUAAUGGAAAACGAGCCCAAAAUUUUGCACAUUUUAUUUCUACUAACUGCUGAAUUCUUCAAGCCAUCAAGCAUGGGAAGACCUCAAAGGAUAUGCUUACUGUGCUUACUACUACAGAAUAUUAACAGCAGAAGGAAAAUGCAGGAAAAUCCCACCCUUGAGAUGGCAGCAGAGGGAUUGUCUGACAAAAUGGAGUCUGACCUGGAAAGGCAUAUGAAGUGUGGAACUGAACUCCUCCAUGUGGAAAAAAUGGAACCCAUUGACAUUCAUUGAUGUUUGUUGAACAUUUAUGGAGACCAAACAGUGGAUGUGAGCGCUGCGAGGUGGCUCCUGGUCCCUCCCCAUGACAGGACCAGUGGAACCAGCGGUGCUAUUUCUCUUCAUGUCUUUGUCCUUAAGAGAGGCCUAGGUGACAACAAAGCUGCUGACCAGAAGUUAUCUGGAAUGAGGGAAGAUGAAAAUAUGAGAGAGAAGCAAUGACUACUGCCUUCUGUACACCUUACUUUUCAUUUUGUAGUGAAACAUUGAGUUUGCACUGGUAUUGGCUUUUUUUCUUACUUUUAUUUUUAAGAAAUUCUUUUUUAUAUUGCUGACUUUCCAAGACUCUCUCCUUUUUAGAGGGAUAAUUCUUUCCUUCCACAUUUGCAUGUCCUGUGCCAGAAACCAAAAAGAGGAAAGGAAACCUGGUCUUUUCUCCUGUUUUGUAUGCUUGCAUGUGUAUUUAAGAUUUUUCCUUUUCUGAUUCGAAACAUACAUACUAGCAGCCCAGUAGAAUUUAUACUUUCUUAGUUUUUUUUUUAAUUAAUCUUCAUCAGACAUAGUUAAAAUGGAUACUCAGGCCUGGUAUAAGCUUAUUUCUUUAGUCAUCCACAUCCAAAGUAUAUGUUUGUAAUAAUCUGUGAAGCGACAGUAUGGCAGUCCUCCAGUUUCCAUACUAUCACUCAAUAGUUUUUUACCUCACUGUCAAGGAAUAUUAGCAAUCCCUAGGAGCAAGGAAGUCCAGAAGCUAUACCUGACAUUGCCCAAAACUCAUGACAAAGUAAGUCCAAUCUGGACGUCACAUUUGGAAUAGAUGGUUACUUUCCUUCACAUCUCUAUUAUAGCUAGCUCAUUCACAUUUGUCUUGCCAAUCACGUGAGCAAAUUCAUGAGAAAAGCAAAUCAAAAAGCAUAACACGGCACUGACAAAUGUCUGGAUGAGAUAGGUGACCUAUCUGUUCCUCCCUCAAGUCUGGCAUGCAUGAGAUUUAUUCAUGAAUAAAGCUUUAUGACUGUACACUGCACUGCCAUCACAACACCCAUAUAUAACUUUAAGACAAUUCUGCCAGAUAUGCAUGGUCAGCAAAAUGGAGAGAAAGGUGCUGGGUGUUGGGUCCCAUGGUCAAAGGAAACUUGUGAAAGAAUAUUUCUCUGUGUCAGAGGAAUGCUACUUCCUUUCCGCAUGCAAAAUGGCAAUAGUCUCUAAAUUGUUUGAAGAGUCUUUCAUAAAUCUCAUUUAUACUGGCCUGGUAUUGGUAACUUAAAUAGUCCCUGUUAUAAAGCAGUCUUUUAACAGCAAUAGCAGUGCUUGGCAUAGCAAACACUUAGGCCCAGCUGCUCUGUGGGCAUUACUGCCAUAUCAUAAUAUCAUUGAUCUGUAAAAUAAAGAUAAACCUUGGAAAUAAGUAGCAAUGCUUCUUCUUCAGAGUUAUGUUUAAUGAAACAUACUUUUCAUGUAGUGAUUUAAUUUCAGUUGGACUAGUUUAAUAAGUAAGGUCAAGACCUUUUAAGAACUGCAGAGAUCAAUGUUGUUGAUCUACACAAAUUAGAGUUCCACAGCAUUACCCUUGAAGCAGUGUGGGAGGCUGAUAAAUGCACGAGAUGUGGUUUUAAGACAUAAUAUUGAAAACAGCAUUCCUGUGAUUAUAUAGCUAAUAUAACAUUUUGAUUUGGAAACUUGAAUAUGUGAACUGGAAGUCGUAACGUACCAAGCUUACUUCCUUUCUCUGCUAGUAAUGCAUUUUGUGUUCUUGAGGACCAUCUGCCCUUAUAAGACAAUUGUAGCUGUCCCAUAGAGUUACUGUGAGCAUUAGUUAAUUACCACUAUAUGCUUUGAACACAUAAAGCCCCAUAGCUCACAGAAACAUGUAUUAUAAAGUAUAACUAUGCAGUUAUUGGAAAAGUCCCUGAUUGUCUCUUUGAGACAACUGUCACGUAGCACUUACUAUACAUAGGAAGUGACACACAAUGACGAAGCAGUUAAAACUCAAAAUGAUAUUCUUGCUCCAAGACAGAGCAUUUGCAUUUUUGGAGAAUGGUCUUGUUUCUUUUUACAGAUUGGCUUAAGAAGCUUUCAGAAAGGCUAAAAAUACCUUUUUAUAUUAACUAGCUUUCCCUUUCUUUGAGCUAAGCACACUGAGGUGUGGAAUGGUUUUGAUGAGCUCAUGAAUAUUGACACUAGAGCUACAAAGCUACAAACACUAGUGCAUCAUAUGAGCCCAUUUUACAUAGUGGUAGGAACUAUUCAUUACUAA
ensembl:lncRNA